rnacentral:rRNA from 1 species
GACAAACGCUGGCGGCGUGCCUAACACAUGCAAGUCGAACGGAGAUACUUGAGUAGCAAUACGAUAGUAUUUUAGUGGCGGACGGGUGAGUAACGCGUGAGCAAUCUGCCUUUCAGAGGGGGAUAACGAUUGGAAACGAUCGCUAAUACCACAUAACGUAUCUAGACGGCAUCGUCAUGAUACCAAAGGAGCAAUCCGCUGAAAGAUGAGCUCGCGUCUGAUUAGCUAGUUGGUAAGGUAAUGGCUUACCAAGGCGACGAUCAGUAGCCGGACUGAGAGGUUGAACGGCCACAUUGGGACUGAGAUACGGCCCAGACUCCUACGGGAGGCUG